CUUGCAUCACACUUUGACACAUAUCAUAGGUCCACAUGCAAGGUUUGGUGGGGUUCCGGUGCUCCGGCGGUCGUUAUCCCCCUCCUCCCCCCAAAACAGCGGAACGCGUGCCCCGGCGGGUCUACCCCCCUAGAUUUCUCCGCGCGAGGGUGCACCAAUGUAACUUUUCAUAGGUUUAGGUUUGUUUAGUCCAUGGACAUAUGGAAAACCAUGUGUGGCACCCUUUGGCACAGUCUAGCCCCCGAUAUACCCGCGGCGGGACACUUCAGCGUACACGUCCAGGAAUCUGUUAAGUGUUAUCGCCCGAAGGUGAGGGAUGUCAGACCGGGGAUCCAUGCCAUGCACCAUUUUGUGAAUCACACCUUGCAUCACACUUUGACACAUAUCAUAGGUCCACAUGCAAGGUUUGGUGGGGUUCCGGUGCUCCGGCGGUCGUUAUCCCCCUCCUCCCCCCAAAACAGCGGAACGCGUGCCCCGGCGGGUCUACCC